UAUCAAUAAGCGGAGGAAAAGAAACUAACAAGGAUUCCCCUAGUAACUGCGAGUGAAGCGGGAAAAGCUCAAAUUUAAAAUCUGUCAGUCUUUGACUGUCCGAGUUGUAAUCUAGAGAAGUGUUAUCCGCGCUGGACCGUGUACAAGUCUCCUGGAAUGGAGCAUCAUGGAGGGUGAGAAUCCCGUCUUUGACAUGGACUGCCAGGGCUUUGUGAUGCGCUCUCAAAGAGUCGAGUUGUUUGGGAAUGCAGCUCAAAAUGGGUGGUAAAUUCCAUCUAAAGCUAAAUAUUGGCGAGAGACCGAUAGCGAACAAGUACCGUGAGGGAAAGAUGAAAAGMACUUUGGAAAGAGAGUUAAACAGUACGUGAAAUUGCUGAAAGGGAAACGCUUGAAGUCAGUCGCGUUGUCCARGGAUCAACCUUGCUUUUGCUUGGUGUACUUUCUGGUUGACGGGUCAGCAUCAAUUUUGACUAUUGGAAAAAGAUUAGGGGAAUGUGSCAUCUUCGGAUGUGUUAUAGCCCUUGGUUGCAUACAAUGGUUGGGAUUGAGGAACUCACCMCGCCGCAAGGCCGGGUUUUAACCACGUACGUGCUUAGGAUGCUGGCAUAAUGGCUUUAAUCGACCCGUCUUGAAACACGGACCAAGGAGUCUAACAUGCCUGCGAGUGUUUGGGUGGAAAACUCGAGCGCGCAAUGAAAGUGAAAGUUGAGAUCCCUGUCGUGGGGAGCAUCGACGCCCGGMCCAGACCUUUUGUGACGGAUCCGCGGUAGAGCAUGUAUGUUGGGACCCGAAAGAUGGUGAACUAUGCCUGAAUAGGGUGAAGCCAGRGGAAACUCUGGUGGAGGCUCGUAGCGAUUCUGACGUGCAAAUCGAUCGUCAAAUUUGGGUAUAGGGGCGAAAGACUAAUCGAACCAUCUAGUAGC
rnacentral:rRNA from 1 species